GUUGAAACACCAGUUCCCAUACAAUCACCGAAGUUAAGCAAUAUUGAGCCUGGUCAGUACCUAGAUAGGUGAGCACUUCAGAAUACCAGGUACUGAAA